rnacentral:rRNA from 1 species
GUGCCAGCAGCCGCGGUAAUACGAAGGGGGCUAGCGUUGUUCGGAAUUACUGGGCGUAAAGGGCGCGUAGGCGGCUUCAACAGUCGGGCGUGAAAUGCCUGGGCUUAACCCAGGAACUGCGUUCGAAACUGCGAGGCUAGAGUGUGGGAGAGGUUGGUGGAAUUCCCAGUGUAGAGGUGAAAUUCGUAGAUAUUGGGAAGAACACCGGUGGCGAAGGCGGCCAACUGGACCACAACUGACGCUGAGGCGCGAAAGCGUGGGGAGCAAACAGGAUUAGAUACCCUGGUAGUCC